rnacentral:rRNA from 1 species
UUAAGUUAUUAAGGGCGCACGGUGGAUGCCUUGGCACUAGAAGCCGAUGAAGGACGUUACUAACGACGAUAUGCUUUGGGGAGCUGUAAGUAAGCUUUGAUCCAGAGAUUUCCGAAUGGGGAAACCCAGCAUGAGUUAUGUCAUGUUAUCGAUAUGUGAAUACAUAGCAUAUCAGAAGGCACACCCGGAGAACUGAAACAUCUUAGUACCCGGAGGAAGAGAAAGAAAAUUCGAUUCCCUUAGUAGCGGCGAGCGAAACGGGAAGAGCCCAAACCAACAAGCUUGCUUGUUGGGGUUGUAGGACACUCUAUACGGAGUUACAAAGGACGACAUUAGACGAAUCAUCUGGAAAGAUGAAUCAAAGAAGGUAAUAAUCCUGUAGUCGAAAAUGUUGUCUCUCUUGAGUGGAUCCUGAGUACGACGGAGCACGUGAAAUUCCGUCGGAAUCUGGGAGGACCAUCUCCUAAGGCUAAAUACUCUCUAGUGACCGAUAGUGAACCAGUACCGUGAGGGAAAGGUGAAAAGCACCCCGGAAGGGGAGUGAAAUAGAACCUGAAACCGUGUGCUUACAAGUAGUCAGAGCCCGUUAAUGGGUGAUGGCGUGCCUUUUGUAGAAUGAACCGGCGAGUUACGAUUUGAUGCAAGGUUAAGCAGUAAAUGUGGAGCCGUAGCGAAAGCGAGUCUGAAUAGGGCGUUUAGUAUUUGGUCGUAGACCCGAAACCAGGUGAUCUACCCUUGGUCAGGUUGAAGUUCAGGUAACACUGAAUGGAGGACCGAACCGACUUACGUUGAAAAGCGAGCGGAUGAACUGAGGGUAGCGGAGAAAUUCCAAUCGAACCUGGAGAUAGCUGGUUCUCUCCGAAAUAGCUUUAGGGCUAGCCUCAAGUGAUGAUUAUUGGAGGUAGAGCACUGUUUGGACGAGGGGCCCCUCUCGGGUUACCGAAUUCAGACAAACUCCGAAUGCCAAUUAAUUUAACUUGGGAGUCAGAACAUGGGUGAUAAGGUCCGUGUUCGAAAGGGAAACAGCCCAGACCACCAGCUAAGGUCCCAAAAUAUAUGUUAAGUGGAAAAGGAUGUGGCGUUGCCCAGACAACUAGGAUGUUGGCUUAGAAGCAGCCAUCAUUUAAAGAGUGCGUAAUAGCUCACUAGUCGAGUGACACUGCGCCGAAAAUGUACCGGGGCUAAACAUAUUACCGAAGCUGUGGAUUGUCCUUUGGACAAUGGUAGGAGAGCGUUCUAAGGGCGUUGAAGCAUGAUCGUAAGGACAUGUGGAGCGCUUAGAAGUGAGAAUGCCGGUGUGAGUAGCGAAAGACGGGUGAGAAUCCCGUCCACCGAUUGACUAAGGUUUCCAGAGGAAGGCUCGUCCGCUCUGGGUUAGUCGGGUCCUAAGCUGAGGCCGACAGGCGUAGGCGAUGGAUAACAGGUUGAUAUUCCUGUACCACCUAUAAUCGUUUUAAUCGAUGGGGGGACGCAGUAGGAUAGGCGAAGCGUGCGAUUGGAUUGCACGUCUAAGCAGUAAGGCUGAGUAUUAGGCAAAUCCGGUACUCGUUAAGGCUGAGCUGUGAUGGGGAGAAGACAUUGUGUCUUCGAGUCGUUGAUUUCACACUGCCGAGAAAAGCCUCUAGAUAGAAAAUAGGUGCCCGUACCGCAAACCGACACAGGUAGUCAAGAUGAGAAUUCUAAGGUGAGCGAGCGAACUCUCGUUAAGGAACUCGGCAAAAUGACCCCGUAACUUCGGGAGAAGGGGUGCUCUUUAGGGUUAACGCCCAGAAGAGCCGCAGUGAAUAGGCCCAAGCGACUGUUUAUCAAAAACACAGGUCUCUGCUAAACCGUAAGGUGAUGUAUAGGGGCUGACGCCUGCCCGGUGCUGGAAGGUUAAGAGGAGUGGUUAGCUUCUGCGAAGCUACGAAUCGAAGCCCCAGUAAACGGCGGCCGUAACUAUAACGGUCCUAAGGUAGCGAAAUUCCUUGUCGGGUAAGUUCCGACCCGCACGAAAGGCGUAACGAUUUGGGCACUGUCUCAACGAGAGACUCGGUGAAAUCAUAGUACCUGUGAAGAUGCAGGUUACCCGCGACAGGACGGAAAGACCCCGUGGAGCUUUACUGUAGCCUGAUAUUGAAAUUCGGCACAGCUUGUACAGGAUAGGUAGGAGCCUUUGAAACGUGAGCGCUAGCUUACGUGGAGGCGCUGGUGGGAUACUACCCUAGCUGUGUUGGCUUUCUAACCCGCACCACUUAUCGUGGUGGGAGACAGUGUCAGGCGGGCAGUUUGACUGGGGCGGUCGCCUCCUAAAAGGUAACGGAGGCGCUCAAAGGUUCCCUCAGAAUGGUUGGAAAUCAUUCAUAGAGUGUAAAGGCAUAAGGGAGCUUGACUGCGAGACCUACAAGUCGAGCAGGGUCGAAAGACGGACUUAGUGAUCCGGUGGUUCCGCAUGGAAGGGCCAUCGCUCAACGGAUAAAAGCUACCCCGGGGAUAACAGGCUUAUCUCCCCCAAGAGUUCACAUCGACGGGGAGGUUUGGCACCUCGAUGUCGGCUCAUCGCAUCCUGGGGCUGUAGUCGGUCCCAAGGGUUGGGCUGUUCGCCCAUUAAAGCGGUACGCGAGCUGGGUUCAGAACGUCGUGAGACAGUUCGGUCCCUAUCCGUCGUGGGCGUAGGAAAUUUGAGAGGAGCUGUCCUUAGUACGAGAGGACCGGGAUGGACAUACCUCUGGUGUACCAGUUGUCGUGCCAACGGCAUAGCUGGGUAGCUAUGUGUGGACGGGAUAAGUGCUGAAAGCAUCUAAGCAUGAAGCCCCCCUCAAGAUGAGAUUUCCCAACUUCGGUUAUAAGAUCCCUCAAAGAUGAUGAGGUUAAUAGGUUCGAGGUGGAAGCAUGGUGACAUGUGGAGCUGACGAAUACUAAUCGAUCGGAGACUUAAUCAA